AUUGAACGCUGGCGGCAUGCCUUACACAUGCAAGUCGAACGGUAACAGGUCUUCGGAUGCUGACGAGUGGCGAACGGGUGAGUAAUACAUCGGAACGUGCCUAGUGGUGGGGGAUAACUACACGAAAGAGUGGCUAAUACCGCAUGAGAUCUAGGGAUGAAAGCAGGGGAUCGCAAGACCUUGUGCUACUAGAGCGGCCGAUGGCAGAUUAGGUAGUUGGUGGGAUAAAAGCUUACCAAGCCGACGAUCUGUAGCUGGUCUGAGAGGACGAUCAGCCACACUGGGACUGAGACACGGCCCAGACUCCUACGGGAGGCAGCAGUGGGGAAUUUUGGACAAUGGGCGAAAGCCUGAUCCAGCAAUGCCGCGUGCAGGACGAAGGCCUUCGGGUUGUAAACUGCUUUUGUACGGAACGAAAAGCCCCGGGUUAAUACCCUGGGGUCAUGACGGUACCGUAAGAAUAAGCACCGGCUAACUACGUGCCAGCCGCCGCCGUAA
rnacentral:rRNA from 1 species